UCUUCUCUUUUUGUCAUUAAUAUGAGAAGUCAAGUUCUAUGAUGGAAAUCCUGGCGAUGGAGAAGAAAAAGAAACUCCUCCAAAUUCCACCCAAGAAGUGAGAGCAGCCAUGAAGAAAUAUGUAAGACAGACACCAAGGAGAAAACCCA